rnacentral:rRNA from 1 species
UACGAAGGGGGCUAGCGUUGCUCGGAAUCACUGGGCGUAAAGCGCCCGUAGGCGGACUCUUAAGUCGGUGGUGAAAUCCUGGAGCUCAACUCCAGAACUGCCUUCGAUACUGGGAGUCUCGAGUCCGGGAGAGGUGAGUGGAACUGCGAGUGUAGAGGUGAAAUUCGUAGAUAUUCGCAAGAACACCAGUGGCGAAGGCGGCUCACUGGCCCGGUACUGACGCUGAGGUGCGAAAGCGUGGGGAGCAAACAGG